rnacentral:rRNA from 1 species
UGGGGAAUUUUCCGCAAUGGGGGAAAGCCUGACGGAGCAAUACCGCGUGAGGGAGGAAUGCCUUUGGGUUGUAAACCUCUUUUCUCAGGGAAGAAGAUCUGACGGUACCUGAGGAAUAAGUAUCGGCUAACUCCGUGCCAGCAGCCGCGGUAAUACGGAGGAUGCAAGCGUUAUCCGGAAUCAUUGGGCGUAAAGCGUCCGCAGGUGGUUUCCAAAGUCUGCUGUUAAAGACUGGAGCUCAACUCCGGAACGGCGGUGGAAACUUGGAAACUAGAGUUCGGUAGGGGUAGCAGGAAUUCCCAGUGUAGCGGUGAAAUGCGUAGAUAUUGGGAAGAACAUCGGUGGCGAAGGCGUGCUACUGGACCGUAACUGACACUCAUGGACGAAAGCUAGGGGAGCGAAAGGGAUUAGAUACCCCUGUAGUCCUAGCUGUAAACGAUGGAAACUAGGUGUGGCUUGA